rnacentral:rRNA from 1 species
CAGUCGCCGCGGUAAUACGAAGGGUGCAAGUGUUAAUCGGAAUUACUGGGCGUAAAGCGUGCGUAGGCGGUGAGUUAAGUCUGCUGUGAAAUCCCCGGGCUCAACCUGGGAAUGGCAGUGGAUACUGGCUCGCUAGAGUGUGUCAGAGGAUGGUGGAAUUCCCGGUGUAGCGGUGAAAUGCGUAGAGAUCGGGAGGAACAUCAGUGGCGAAGGCGGCCAUCUGGGACAACACUGACGCUGAGGCACGAAAGCGUGGGGAGCAAACAGGAUUAGAUACCCCCGUAGUCCCUGUCUCUUAUAC